CAGCUGACACACAUGCCCAUCUGCCAUGCUGGCACCAUGCCCUAGCAAGGGGAGCUCUGCUUCCUACCGGUGGGCGUAGGUGCCGGGUGGCUGCAUAUGUCUGCAGAGGGGGCCUCUGUCUCAAACAGUACAGAAGACCUGCAGUUCCAAUAUUCCCCUCCUGCCCUGCUCAUCCCUCACCACCUCUACCAGGGUGCACAGAGGUGCCUGGAGCUGCAGAAGGAAGAAACAAAGAAGAUAGGAACUGGAGAGUUCAGGGCUGCCAAACAAACAGGCCUUGCCACAUACAGCAUGCUGCAGAGCCAAGGCCACCUAUGGAACAACCAAAUGGACACUUGGAAGGAAAAGCCAAAGGCACAAACAAUACCAGCUCAAAGGGCCCCACAAGGGGCCUGGGCCAUUGAUAGACCAUGGGGUAGUGCAUGAUGCUAUUGACACUGUCAUUUCCCUCCAAGAACGAGGGGGAACAACUCUGAGGGGAGGAUGCUCACUUUUUUCUCCAUGUCUGCCCUUGGUGAAGCUCAUUCUCCUCUAUGGUUGGAUGGGAGUGUCUGAGCUUGCGAUCAUUUCUACAAGGAGGCACAGGAGGUCCCCUUCCACGCUGGCUUUGCUGACUUCUGAGCCUUUAAGAGGAAAAAGAUCUUUCAGCCGUGGACACAGAAGGACAAUCCUUCAAGGCAACUUGGUGAAGCAAAUCAUGGGCACCCUUCGUUCAAAUGCCUCACGUGCAGAAUAAUGGUGACCCCCGGGAUAGGAGCAUGGUGAAUUUUGCCCGACACGCCGGACCCCUGCUAGGAAAGGCGCACAAGUCAUGUAGGGUUUAAAUAAAGAAAAAAUUCUGUGUACUUGCUGCAUACAAGGUUCUGUGUUGCUACCAGGUCCCUCUGCCAAUAUCUUCCUCUCCACCCCCACUGAAGUUCCCUGGACUACAAGUGAGAAGAUUAAAAACCAGAUUAAGUGAUUUGCCCAAGAUCAUAUAGCAUGAGUGACAUGACCAGAGCCCAAAAUGAGAUUUUCAGACUCCAAAGCCUGUGCUCUUUCCCUGCAAGCAACAUGACAUGGUGGAAAGCAGAUGAGCUCUGGACCCAGACAAAUGUGAACUAGGAUCUUAAGUUAACUCUGGUCCCAGCACUUGUUAACAGCAUGGCUUCAAUUAUCCUUUGGAGGGCCUAACACCUAUGUCAUAGUGUGGUUGGAAAUAAGGCAUGAGUUAACACCUGCCAAAUAUCUAGCACAAUAACAGGCUUAAAGAAGGUAUAAGCAGAUGUUACUUCCAUACUUCCUCACUUUCUCCAUUUGCAGGAUAAAAAUAAAUUUAAGAUGCAUGCUAUGGAAAUUUAGCAUAGGUAUACAACUCACUGAAGUUCACCAGCUAUACACAUCUGUGCACCAGAAACCAGAUGAUGAAAUAGAAUGCCGACACCUACCCUUUGAUGGUGCCUUCUGCCCUUCCUAGCCACUAUAUCCCUUUAAGAAUAACCUCUACUGAUUCCUAACGUUGUAGGUUGAUGUUACCUGCUUCUGAAUGUUAUAUAAGUAGAUCCAUAUAGUAUAUUCCCUCUUGUAUCUGGUUCUUUUACUUGCCAUUGUAUUAAUGAGAUCUACAUCACUGUAUUAGAAUGGUUCACUCAUUCUCAUUUCUUGAUAGUAUCCCAGUAUGUGAAUAUACUCAAUUUAUUUAUCCAUUUUACGGUGCAUGAGCAUUUGCAUUGUUUCUCAAACUUUUACUAAAAUGCUUCUCUGAAUGUUCUUGUGGAUAUGUAUUGAUAAAUAUGUGUAUGCUUUUUCUAUAAAAGCAAGAGUAAAA